rfam:Hordeum vulgare subsp. vulgare, WGS project CAJW01000000 data, contig: morex_contig_56063
UGCAUACUCCGUCCGUCCAGAAUUACUUGCCCCGAAAAUGGAUGUAUUAGACCUAUUUUAGUUCUAGAUACGUCCAUUUCUAUCCAUCCUUGUGACAAGUAAUUUCGGACGGAGGGAGUAUUAA